UCGGGAGCUGUCAGGUGCUGCAUGGCUGUCGUCAGCUCGUGUCGUGAGAUGUUCGGUUAAGUCCGCUAACGAGCGCAACCCUCGCUGUGUGUUACAAGUGUCACACGGAACUGCCGGUCAUAAACCGGAGGAAGGUGGGGAUGACGUCAAGUCAGCAUGGCCUUUAUAUCCUGGGCUACACACACGCUACAAUGGGAAGGGACAAUAGGUUGCGAAGCCGCGAGGCGGAGCCAAUCCAGCAAAACUUCCCUCAGUUCAGAUUGCAGGCUGCAACCCGCCUGCAUGAAGUUGGAGUUGCUAGUAAACGCAGGUCAGCCAUACUGCGUUGAAUACGUUCCCGGGGCUU
rnacentral:rRNA from 1 species